GAUGAACGCUGGCGGCGUGCCUAAUACAUGCAAGUCGAGCGAACUUACUAUCAGCUUGCUUCUCUGCAGUUAGCGACAGACGGGUGCGUAACAGGUGGAUAACCUAGCUAUACGACUGGGAUAACUUCGGAUAACCGGUGGUAAUACCUGCUAAUAUCUUGUACCUCAUUUUUCAGCAGUGAAAAAGGGUGUUGCUGUCUCUUAUAUAUGGAUCCGCGCUGCAUGCGCUAGUUGGUAAGGUAACGGCUUACCAAGGCAACGAUGCAUAGCCGACCUGAGAGGGGGACCGGCAAACCUGGACCUGAGACACGGUCCAGACUCCUACGGGAGGCAGCAGUGGGGAAUCUUGCGCAAUGGGCGAAAGCCUGACGGAGCAACGCGGGGUGGGUAAUGAAGUUCUUCGGAUGGUAAAACUCUGUUUUUAGGGAAGAAAAUAUGUGGAAGGAACUGUGCAUCUCUUGACGGUACCUAAUCAGAAAGCCACGGCUAACUACGUG
rnacentral:rRNA from 1 species